rnacentral:rRNA from 1 species
CCCUUAGAUGCUCUGGGCCGCACGCGCGCUACACUGGUCGAUGCAACGAGUUUCUUUCCUUGGCCGACAGGCCUGGGCAAUCUUUGAACAUCGAUCGUGAUCGGGAUAGAUUCUUGUAAUUUUUGAUCUUAAACGAGGAAUUCCUAGUAAACACAAGUCAUCAGCUUGCAUUGAUUACGUCCCUGCCCUUUGUACACACCGCCCGUCGCACCUACCGAUUGAAUGGUCCGGUGAAAUCUCCGGACUGGCGUGAGUCGGAGCAAUCUGACAAACGCCGGAAAGUUGAUUAAACCUUACCAUUUAGAGGAAGGUGAAGUCGUAACA